AGUAAAGUCAGCUAAAUAAGCUUUUGGGCCCAUACCCCAAAAAUGUUGGUGAAACCCCUACCUUUACUA
rnacentral:tRNA from 1 species